rnacentral:tRNA from 6 species
GGGCGAGUGGCGGAAUGGCAGACGCGAAGGACUUAAAAUCCUUUGGAGGUAAUUCUCCGUGUGGGUUCGACUCCCUCCUCGCCCA